rnacentral:rRNA from 1 species
GUUGAACGCUGGCGGCGUGCCUAAUACAUGCAAGUCGAGCGAAAACACGAGUAGCUUGCUCCGCUGACGUUAGCGGCGCGCGGGUGAGUAACACGUGGAUAACCUACCUAUAAGACUGGGAUAACUUCGAGACACCGGAGCUACUACCGGAUAACAUCUUGAACCGCAGGGUUCAACAGUGAAAGACGGUCUUGCUGUCACUUAUUGAUGGAUCCGCGCCGGAUUAGCUAGUUGGUAAGGUAACGGCUUACCAAGGCAACGAUGCGUAGCCGACCUGAGAGGGUGAUCGGCCACACUGGAACUGAGACACGGUCCAGACUCCUACGGGAGGCAGCAGUAGGGAAUCUUGGGCAAUGGGCGAAAGCCUGACGGAGCAACGCCGCGUGAGUGAAGAAGGUCUUCGGAUCGUAAAGCUCUGUUAUUAGGGAAGAACAAAUGUGUAAGUAUCCAGGCACGUCUUGACGGUACCUAAUGAGAAAGCCACGGCUAACUACGUG